GACGAACGCUGGCGGCGUGCUUAACACAUGCAAGUCGAACGGAAAGGCCCUGCUUUUGUGGGGUGCUCGAGUGGCGAACGGGUGAGUAACACGUGAGUAACCUGCCCUUGACUUUGGGAUAACUUCAGGAAACUGGGGCUAAUACCGGAUAGGAGCUCCUGCUGCAUGGUGGGGGUUGGAAAGUUUCGGCGGUUGGGGAUGGACUCGCGGCUUAUCAGCUUGUUGGUGGGGUAGUGGCUUACCAAGGCUUUGACGGGUAGCCGGCCUGAGAGGGUGACCGGCCACAUUGGGACUGAGAUACGGCCCANACUCCUACGGGAGGCAGCAGUGGGGAAUAUUGCACAAUGGGCGGAAGCCUGAUGCAGCAACGCCGCGUGCGGGAUGACGGCCCUUCGGGUUGUAAACCGCUUUCGCCUGUGACGAAGCGUGAGUGACGGUAAUGGGUAAAGAAGCACCGGCUAACUACGUGCCAGCAGCCGCGGUGAUACGUAGGGUGCGAGCGUUGUCCGGAUUUAUUGGGCGUAAAGGGCUCGUAGGUGGUUGAUCGCGUCGGAAGUGUAAUCUUGGGGCUUAACCCUGAGCGUGCUUUCGAUACGGGUUGACUUGAGGAAGGUAGGGGAGAAUGGAAUUCCUGGUGGAGCGGUGGAAUGCGCAGAUAUCAGGAGGAACACCAGUGGCGAAGGCGGUUCUCUGGGCCUUUCCUGACGCUGAGGAGCGAAAGCGUGGGGAGCGAACAGGCUUAGAUACCCUGGUAGUCCACGCUGUAAACGGUGGGUACUAGGUGUGGGGUCCAUUCCACGGGUUCCGUGCCGUAGCUAACGCUUUAAGUACCCCGCCUGGGGAGUACGGCCGCAAGGCUAAAACUCAAAGGAAUUGACGGGGCCCCGCACAAGCGGCGGAGCAUGCGGAUUAAUUCGAUGCAACGCGUAGAACCUUACCUGGGUUUGACAUGGAUCGGGAGUGCUCAGAGAUGGGUGUGCCUCUUUUGGGGUCGGUUCACAGGUGGUGCAUGGCUGUCGUCAGCUCGUGUCGUGAGAUGUUGGGUUAAGUCCCGCAACGAGCGCAACCCUUGUUCACUGUUGCCAGCACGUUAUGGUGGGGACUCAGUGGAGACCGCCGGGGUCAACUCGGAGGAAGGUGGGGAUGACGUCAAGUCAUCAUGCCCCUUAUGUCCAGGGCUUCACGCAUGCUACAAUGGCUGGUACAGAGAGUGGCGAGCCUGUGAGGGUGAGCGAAUCUCGGAAAGCCGGUCUCAGUUCGGAUUGGGGUCUGCAACUCGACCUCAUGAAGUCGGAGUCGCUAGUAAUCGCAGAUCAGCAACGCUGCGGUGAAUACGUUCCCGGGGCUUGUACACACCGCCCGUCAAGUCAUGAAAGUUGGUAACACCCGAAGCCGGUGGCCUAACCGUUGUGGGGGAGCCGUCGAAGGUGGGACUGGUGAUUAGGACUAAGUCGUAACAAGGUAGCCGUACCGGAAGG
rnacentral:rRNA from 1 species